GCCCACGUAGCUCAGUCGGUAGAGCAUCUCCAUGGUAAGGAGAAGGUCAGCGGUUCGAUUCCGCUCGUGGGCUCCA
rnacentral:tRNA from 1 species